rnacentral:rRNA from 1 species
UACGUAGGGGGCUAGCGUUGUCCGGAAUCAUUGGGCGUAAAGCGCGUGUAGGCGGUCCGGUAAGUCCGCUGUGAAAGUCCAGGGCUCAACCCUGGAAAGCCGGUGGAAACUGUCGAGCUCGAGUCCGGAAGAGGCGAGUGGAAUUCCUGGUGUAGCGGUGAAAUGCGCAGAUAUCAGGAGGAACACCAAUGGCGAAGGCAGCUCGCUGGGACGGUACUGACGCUGAGACGCGAAAGCGUGGGGAGCGAACAGG